rnacentral:rRNA from 1 species
CGAGUGAAGCGGCAAGAGCUCAAAUUUUAAAUCUGGAUCCUUCGGAUUCCGAGUUGUAAUUUGAAGAGGUAGCUUCGGUUGCGGCCUUGGUCUAAGUGCCUUGGAACAGGACGUCGUAGAGGGUGAGAAUCCCGUACACGGCUGAGGACCCGCUUCCAUGUGUAGCUCCUUCGAAGAGUCGAGUUGUUUGGGAAUGCAGCUCAAAAUGGGUGGUAAAUUUCAUCUAAAGCUAAAUAUUGGCGAGAGACCGAUAGCGCACAAGUAGAGUGAUCGAAAGAUGAAAAGCACUUUGAAAAGAGAGUUAAACAGUACGUGAAAUUGUUGAAAGGGAAGCGCUUGCAAUCAGACCUGCUUUCGAUUGAUCAAUGUUCCUUCUGGUUCAUGCACUCUUUCGUUGGCAGGCCAGCAUCGGUUGGAGCGGUGGGACAAAGACUUCAGGAAUGUGGCUCUCUUCGGGGAGUGUUAUAGCCUGUUGUGCAAUGCCACCAGCACCGACCGAGGUCCGCGCUUUUUGCUAGGAUGCUGGCUUAAUGGUUGU